rnacentral:rRNA from 1 species
GUUAAGCGACUAAGCGUACACGGUGGAUGCCCUGGCAGUCAGAGGCGAUGAAGGACGUGCUAAUCUGCGAUAAGCGUCGGUAAGGUGAUAUGAACCGUUAUAACCGGCGAUUUCCGAAUGGGGAAACCCAGUGUGAUUCGUCACACUAUCAUUAACUGAAUCCAUAGGUUAAUGAGGCGAACCGGGGGAACUGAAACAUCUAAGUACCCCGAGGAAAAGAAAUCAACCGAGAUUCCCCCAGUAGCGGCGAGCGAACGGGGAGCAGCCCAGAGCCUGAAUCAGUGUGUGUGUUAGUGGAAGCGUCUGGAAAGGCGCGCGAUACAGGGUGACAGCCCCGUACACAAAAAUGCACAUGCUGUGAGCUCGAUGAGUAGGGCGGGACACGUGGUAUCCUGUCUGAAUAUGGGGGGACCAUCCUCCAAGGCUAAAUACUCCUGACUGACCGAUAGUGAACCAGUACCGUGAGGGAAAGGCGAAAAGAACCCCGGCGAGGGGAGUGAAAAAGAACCUGAAACCGUGUACGUACAAGCAGUGGGAGCACGCUUAGGCGUGUGACUGCGUACCUUUUGUAUAAUGGGUCAGCGACUUAUAUUCUGUAGCAAGGUUAACCGAAUAGGGGAGCCGAAGGGAAACCGAGUCUUAACUGGGCGUUAAGUUGCAGGGUAUAGACCCGAAACCCGGUGAUCUAGCCAUGGGCAGGUUGAAGGUUGGGUAACACUAACUGGAGGACCGAACCGACUAAUGUUGAAAAAUUAGCGGAUGACUUGUGGCUGGGGGUGAAAGGCCAAUCAAACCGGGAGAUAGCUGGUUCUCCCCGAAAGCUAUUUAGGUAGCGCCUCGUGAAUUCAUCUCCGGGGGUAGAGCACUGUUUCGGCAAGGGGGUCAUCCCGACUUACCAACCCGAUGCAAACUGCGAAUA